AGUCGUAACCCCGUAGGUGAACCUGCGGAAGGAUCAUUAACACGUAUCCACGUAUCAACCCCUCUGCGCAACACGUUAAACGUAAGGUUGGUCUUAGUCUGGCAACUCGCAUAGAUCAACGAUGGAAGACUUUUGUUGACGCCGCUUCACACGAGCAGCUGAGACUGAGUCUUGAGGUCUUUGUUGGGUGUUUGGCCGAUAUUUUCCCAUCGUUAGGCUUUCUCUAACCCAUUUUUCAACCCUUUGGACUGAACCAAUUCCUUCGAGUUCUCUUCGCAAGAAGACUUGAACACGAAAGAUAUUACGAAACUAAAGAACAACCCGGAGCAACGGAUAUCUUGGUUCCC
rnacentral:misc_RNA from 1 species